GGCAGCAGCCGCGGUAACACCGGCAGCUCUAGUGGUAGCUGUUUUAUUGGGCCUAAAGCGUUCGUAGCCGGUUUGAUAAGUCACUGGUGAAAUCCUGUAGCUUAACGUGUGGGAAUUGCUGGUGAUACUGUUGAACUUGAGGUCGGGAGAGGUUAGCGGUACUCCCAGGGUAGAGGUGAAAUUCUGUAAUCCUGGGAGGACCACCUGUGGCGAAGGCGGCUAACUGGAACGAACCUGACGGUGAGGGACGAAAGCUAGGGGCGCGAACCGGAUUAGAUACCCGGGUAGUCCUAGCCGUAAACGAUGCGGACUUGGUGUUGGGAUGGCUUUGAGCCGCUCCGGUGCCGAAGGGAAGCUGUUAAGUCCGCCGCCUGGGAAGUACGGUCGCAAGACUGAACUUAAAGGAAUUGGCGGGGGAGCACCACAACGCGUGGAGCCUGCGGUUUAAUUGGAUUCAACGCCGGACAUCUCACCAGGAGCGACAGCUGUAUGAUUACCAGGCUGAUGACCUUGUUUGACUAGCUGAGAGGUGGUGCAUGG
rnacentral:rRNA from 1 species